AUGGCUAUGACUGUGUGGGGCUGAGCUGUUCUGUUCAGGCCCUUGUCCCUGCUGACCGUAUGGUAACACUUGCCUGCUGAGGGUCCAGUGACCACUCUUCUGAUUUGGAUUCUGCCCAGUGUCUGGGGGUCAGAGGGGAUAGUGAAUGUCAUCAUAGGGAUGGAUGACCCCUCUUGUGUCACAGGAGUGACCUCUGGCUCAGGUUGGCUUAUAUGCUUAUAGGCCAGGGCCCCAGUUUUGAAGGUUGAAAUGACUUCAAGUGGAAGGGAAAGGUACAGCUAUGCCCCUGUAAAAGCUUGGACACACAGGCCCAAGUUGCUGUUCCUGGAAAUGCUAGGUAAAGGCCAGGCUGACUCAUGCCCUGACUGGGACUUAGGGCUCAAACUGG
rnacentral:lncRNA from 1 species